rnacentral:rRNA from 1 species
UACGGAGGGUGCAAGCGUUAUCCGGAUUCACUGGGUUUAAAGGGUGCGUAGGCGGGUAGGCAAGUCAGUGGUGAAAUCUUCGAGCUUAACUCGGAAACUGCCGUUGAUACUAUCUAUCUUGAAUACCGUGGAGGUGAGCGGAAUAUGUCAUGUAGCGGUGAAAUGCUUAGAUAUGACAUAGAACACCAAUUGCGAAGGCAGCUCGCUACACGAAUAUUGACUCUGAGGCACGAAAGCGUGGGGAUCAAACAGG